GGUUAAGCGACUAAGCGUACACGGUGGAUGCCCUGGCAGUCAGAGGCGAUGAAGGGCGUGCUAAUCUGCGAUAAGCGCCGGUAAGGUGAUAUGAACCGUUAUAACCGGCGAUACCCGAAUGGGGAAACCCAGUGUGAUUCGUCACACUAUCAUUAACUGAAUCCAUAGGUUAAUGAGGCGAACCGGGGGAACUGAAACAUCUAAGUACCCCGAGGAAAAGAAAUCAACCGAGAUUCCCCCAGUAGCGGCGAGCGAACGGGGAGGAGCCCAGAGCCUGAAUCAGCAUGUGUGUUAGUGGAAGCGUCUGGAAAGGCGCGCGAUACAGGGUGACAGCCCCGUACACAAAAGCGCAUGUGCUGUGAGCUCGAUGAGUAGGGCGGGACACGUGAUAUCCUGUCUGAAUAUGGGGGGACCAUCCUCCAAGGCUAAAUACUCCUGACUGACCGAUAGUGAACCAGUACCGUGAGGGAAAGGCGAAAAGAACCCCGGCGAGGGGAGUGAAAAAGAACCUGAAACCGUGUACGUACAAGCAGUGGGAGCACCCUUUGGGGUGUGACUGCGUACCUUUUGUAUAAUGGGUCAGCGACUUAUAUUCUGUAGCAAGGUUAACCGAAUAGGGGAGCCGGAGGGAAACCGAGUCUUAAUUGGGCGUUAAGUUGCAGGGUAUAGACCCGAAACCCGGUGAUCUAGCCAUGGGCAGGUUGAAGGUUGGGUAACACUAACUGGAGGACCGAACCGACUAAUGUUGAAAAAUUAGCGGAUGACCUGUGGCUGGGGGUGAAAGGCCAAUCAAACCGGGAGAUAGCUGGUUCUCCCCGAAAGCUAUUUAGGUAGCGCCUCGUGAAUUCAUCUCCGGGGGUAGAGCACUGUUUCGGCUAGGGGGCCAUCCCGGCUUACCAACCCGAUGCAAACUGCGAAUACCGGAGAAUGUUAUCACGGGAGACACACGGCGGGUGCUAACGUCCGUCGUGAAGAGGGAAACAACCCAGACCGCCAGCUAAGGUCCCAAAGUCAUGGUUAAGUGGGAAACGAUGUGGGAAGGCCCAGACAGCCAGGAUGUUGGCUUAGAAGCAGCCAUCAUUUAAAGAAAGCGUAAUAGCUCACUGGUCGAGUCGGCCUGCGCGGAAGAUGUAACGGGGCUAAACCAUGCACCGAAGCUGCGGCAGCGAACGUAUCACUUAAAGCGAUUCAGCGGGUUACGAUUGACGGAGCGAAGCGACGUCAAAGCGUAUACAAAGUCGAGUCGGUUUAAGGAUACGUUCGUUGGGUAGGGGAGCGUUCUGUAAGCCUGUGAAGGUGUGUCGUGAGGCAUGCUGGAGGUAUCAGAAGUGCGAAUGCUGACAUAAGUAACGAUAAAGCGGGUGAAAAGCCCGCUCGCCGGAAGACCAAGGGUUCCUGUCCAACGUUAAUCGGGGCAGGGUGAGUCGACCCCUAAGGCGAGGCCGAAAGGCGUAGUCGAUGGGAAACGGGUUAAUAUUCCCGUACUUGGUGUUACUGCGAAGGGGGGACGGAGAAGGCUAUGUUGGCCGGGCGACGGUUGUCCCGGUUUAAGCGUGUAGGUGUGUGUUCCAGGUAAAUCCGGUUCACUUUAACACUGAGGCGUGACGACGAGGCACUACGGUGCUGAAGCAACAAAUGCCCUGCUUCCAGGAAAAGCCUCUAAGCAUCAGGUAACAUCAAAUCGUACCCCAAACCGACACAGGUGGUCAGGUAGAGAAUACCAAGGCGCUUGAGAGAACUCGGGUGAAGGAACUAGGCAAAAUGGUGCCGUAACUUCGGGAGAAGGCACGCUGACACGUAGGUGAAGUGAUUUACUCAUGGAGCUGAAGUCAGUCGAAGAUACCAGCUGGCUGCAACUGUUUAUUAAAAACACAGCACUGUGCAAACACGAAAGUGGACGUAUACGGUGUGACGCCUGCCCGGUGCCGGAAGGUUAAUUGAUGGGGUCAGCGCAAGCGAAGCUCCUGAUCGAAGCCCCGGUAAACGGCGGCCGUAACUAUAACGGUCCUAAGGUAGCGAAAUUCCUUGUCGGGUAAGUUCCGACCUGCACGAAUGGCGUAAUGAUGGCCAGGCUGUCUCCACCCGAGACUCAGUGAAAUUGAACUCGCUGUGAAGAUGCAGUGUACCCGCGGCAAGACGGAAAGACCCCGUGAACCUUUACUAUAGCUUGACACUGAACAUUGAGCCUUGAUGUGUAGGAUAGGUGGGAGGCUUUGAAGUGUGGACGCCAGUCUGCAUGGAGCCGACCUUGAAAUACCACCCUUUAAUGUUUGAUGUUCUAACGUGGACCCGUGAUCCGGGUUGCGGACAGUGUCUGGUGGGUAGUUUGACUGGGGCGGUCUCCUCCUAAAGAGUAACGGAGGAGCACGAAGGUUGGCUAAUCCUGGUCGGACAUCAGGAGGUUAGUGCAAUGGCAUAAGCCAGCUUGACUGCGAGCGUGACGGCGCGAGCAGGUGCGAAAGCAGGUCAUAGUGAUCCGGUGGUUCUGAAUGGAAGGGCCAUCGCUCAACGGAUAAAAGGUACUCCGGGGAUAACAGGCUGAUACCGCCCAAGAGUUCAUAUCGACGGCGGUGUUUGGCACCUCGAUGUCGGCUCAUCACAUCCUGGGGCUGAAGUAGGUCCCAAGGGUAUGGCUGUUCGCCAUUUAAAGUGGUACGCGAGCUGGGUUUAGAACGUCGUGAGACAGUUCGGUCCCUAUCUGCCGUGGGCGCUGGAGAACUGAGGGGGGCUGCUCCUAGUACGAGAGGACCGGAGUGGACGCAUCACUGGUGUUCGGGUUGUCAUGCCAAUGGCACUGCCCGGUAGCUAAAUGCGGAAGAGAUAAGUGCUGAAAGCAUCUAAGCACGAAACUUGCCCCGAGAUGAGUUCUCCCUGAGACUUAGAGUCUCCUGAAGGAACGUUGAAGACGACGACGUUGAUAGGCCGGGUGUGUAAGCGCAGCGAUGCGUUGAGCUAACCGGUACUAAUGAACCGUGAGGCUUAACCUU
rnacentral:rRNA from 1 species